UCUGAGCCGAAAAAGGUAAUAUUUCUUAAGAAACCUAUGCUCUUUGGCGGCCUUAUUUCUUAUUGGAGGAACUUGUCCACUAAUCGAAAUUACUCGUUAAUUUUCUCUUUCAUUCUGUUUUUAUACCGUCGUCUUAAGCACAUCAUCAAAAAAAUUGUCCCAAUUUGAAUCUCCAGGCAAGUCAGAUCAAGGUGAAGCUAAUAUGGGAGAUUCGGGUGAGUUAUAUAUAAGCACUACUAAGAGACUCUCCUUUAAAAAGUUGUUCGAAUUAAGAUUCAACAGUACCCUUAAACUAAUAACUUAAGGGGAAGAAGUGAAAAAAGGUGU
rnacentral:rRNA from 1 species